UACGUAGGGUGCGAGCGUUGUCCGGAAUUAUUGGGCGUAAAGAGCUCGUAGGCGGUCUGUCGCGUCUGCUGUGAAAACUGGGGGCUCAACCCCCAGCCUGCAGCGGGUACGGGCAGACUAGAGUGCGGUAGGGGAGAUUGGAACUCCUGGUGUAGCGGUGGAAUGCGCAGAUAUCAGGAAGAACACCGAUGGCGAAGGCAGAUCUCUGGGCCGUAACUGACG
rnacentral:rRNA from 1 species